AUGCUCUCGUGGUGGGGCUCCAUGUUGCUUUGGCCUGGAUGCUGCUGCCAUCUUGUGGAUGUCGCUUCUGAGGCGAAGGUUUCUUCUCUCUCCAAGGAAAGGUUAUCGUUCUUUCUCUUGCCCCAGUUAACAUUGCUCGCGUUAAUCCACAUGUUUAAAGCUCUUUCCUUAAACGCGGAGCCCCACCUAGGAGGCCCAGAAAUGGGGCCCCCCGGGUCAUCGGGGACAUUUCCCAUGCACUCCCACGGCCCACCAGGCUCCUUAAUAAGUCCUUUGGUGUUCAGUUUGCGGAGCCCUUUUCGAGGCUGCUCAUUCCACCUAUGACACCUCUCCUCGUGGCUUCAAGAAGCUGUAGCGUGUGUGGCGGCCACACUCCAGUAAAACCAUCUCAGCAGACAGGUCAGCUCAGGCUGAGGGGGUUCAAACCUUCGGUGAGUUAGGGGGAAUGUCCGCGUUAAACAUGUGAAGACUUCUUCCAGAAGAAUGAGUAGAUGAGAACAAGAACCAUUGUUCCAGCGGCCACGAGGGUGGCUGAAGCUGGCACUGUGGGGUGCUUAGAGCUUGGUCAGCCAUGGGAGAUGCCAAGGUCAUCCACUGCAUCCCGGGCCAUCACUACUCGUCCUGACUGUUGUUUUUAAUGAUGCUGGAAGAAUGGUGCUGACAACUUUAUGUGACUCUUCCUCACCUAACUCCAGUGCAUGAGCAAGUCAAGAUAUCACCUUGUGACAUCAUUGGUCCUCUUUGAAAUGAAGGAUGAACAACAACUUCUGGAUAGUGUCAGCAGUUCCUGAUUUACUCCCUUCCAGGGGCCCUUCCAUCUCCAACAAAGUCCAAAGACUAAUUUCAUUAAAAUGUAGCUUGAUAUGUUGAAAAUAUCGCUAUAUAUUUUGUUUUUAAUUUAUGAAUGUAUCUCUCCUUUACCCUAGGUCAAGAGCAUGAGGAGUGAGCUCCUUUUAGUUCAUAAGUCUGUAUUCAUGGUGUGAAGUAAGCUUACUCCUUGGGCCAGUAUAGACUUUGCCUUCUAGGAACUUUCUAUCUAGUUGAGGCAAUAAAAGACCUGUGUAGACCCUGCCCUCUAGGAAU
rnacentral:lncRNA from 1 species